rnacentral:rRNA from 1 species
CAGUAGCCGCGGUAAUACAGAGGGUGCAAGCGUUAAUCGGAAUUACUGGGCGUAAAGCGCGCGUAGGUGGUUUGUUAAGUUGGAUGUGAAAGCCCCGGGCUCAACCUGGGAACUGCAUCCAAAACUGGCAAGCUAGAGUACGGUAGAGGGUGGUGGAAUUUCCUGUGUAGCGGUGAAAUGCGUAGAUAUAGGAAGGAACACCAGUGGCGAAGGCGACCACCUGGACUGAUACUGACACUGAGGUGCGAAAGCGUGGGGAGCAAACAGGAUUAGAGACCCCUGUAGUCCCUGUCUCUUAUAC